CCUACGGGGCGCAGCAGUGGGGAAUAUUGGACAAUGGGCGAAAGCCUGAUCCAGCCAUGCCGCGUGUGUGAAGAAGGCCUUCGGGUUGUAAAGCACUUUCAGUGGGGAAGAAAGCCUUGGGGCUAAUACCCUCGAGGAAGGACAUCACCCACGGAAGAAGCACCGGCUAACUCCGUGCCAGCAGCCGCGGUAAUACGGAGGGUGCGAGCGUUAAUCGGAAUUACUGGGCGUAAAGCGCGCGUAGGCGGUCUGAUAAGCCGGUUGUGAAAGCCCCGGGCUCAACCUGGGAACGGCAUCCGGAACUGUCAGGCUAGAGUGCAGGAGAGGAAGGUAGAAUUCCCGGUGUAGCGGUGAAAUGCGUAGAGAUCGGGAGGAAUACCAGUGGCGAAGGCGGCCUUCUGGACUGACACUGACGCUGAGGUGCGAAAGCGUGGGUAGCAAACAGGAUUAGAUACCCGGGUAGUC
rnacentral:rRNA from 1 species